rnacentral:rRNA from 1 species
AUGAAACGGCCUCGUCAUCAGAAGUUGAAAACGAGAUCCCGACGGAAAGAAUGGUCAGAUCUCGUGGCCACGCCACGCAACAUGCAGAGCCACCGCCCCGCCACCGAAGACCACGUCCGAGAAGAAAGCAGAAGCGCACGAGCCCAACCAACCACCAGGGCGCGCGCGGCGGCGACGAGGACAACCGUCACCCCUGCGAGACGCUCGGCAUUCAUGUCCGUCCCCUCCGACUCCGGCCAGGAGACACCGCCCUCGGCGACCGAGAGCGGUCGGACGCGCCUCCAGGACGAGCAGCUGGGGCAGCUCCGGGAGCUCUUCAUCCGCUUCGACCUCGACGGCGACGGCAGUCUCACCAAGCUCGAGAUAGCCGCGCUUCUCCGCUCGCUCGGUCUCCGCCCCGCCGAGGGGGACGAGAUCCACACCCUCAUCGCCUCCAUGGACAUCGACGGCAACGGCACCGUGGAGUUCGACGAGCUAACCUCUUCCCUCUCCCAGCUGCUCCUCGGGCCCGGCCGCUCCUCCGUCGCCGUUGACCACGAGCAGCUAGCCGAGGCCUUCCGCGCCUUCGACCGCGACGGCAACGGAUACAUCUCCGCCGCCGAGCUCGCGCGCUCCAUGGCGCAAAUGGGGCACCCCAUCUGCUACGCGGAGCUCAACGACAUGAUGCGCGAGGCCGACACCGACGGCGACGGCUCCAUCAGCUUUGAGGAGUUCGCCGCCAUCAUGGCCAAGUCCGCCGUCGAAUUUCUCGGCCUCGCCGUGUUGUGA